rnacentral:tRNA from 1 species
CAUCGUUCUGGUAGAGGGGAUAUCCGCGGAGCUGACUAUCACUCAGCCGAGGGAGGUCGACCUAUACGGACGAGCGUUCGACACCCUGGCGGUGC